UCCAAUCACAUUCAAAAAAUCUCUGUACCAGUACGAUACGUAAUUCGAGGCGUGACCCUCUGUACAGUUCGAUCUUAGCCGUUUAUUUUCUUUCUUACGGCCCGAUCUCAAUUUUCAUUUUGUCUCAUCUGCGGCAUUAACUAGGUUAUCUUAAUUACCGCCGUCUACUCAUCAUUAAAGCCAACCUCGAAACUCGCUUCGAUGCGACGAUUCGAUACGACGACCUUUCUUCUUCUCCAAGCUUUUACCUUUUUGUCUCUUCUACUCCUUCUUCGUCUUCUAGGAAACUCUUCUUUCGCUUCCCUUUCCUUCAUCUUUUUCGAUUUUAUUUUCCACUUAACUUUUCCUCUUUUCUUUUCGACUAAUGGCGUUGGUUCCGCCUCUUCCU
rnacentral:lncRNA from 1 species